rnacentral:rRNA from 1 species
AUUGAACGCUGGCGGCAUGCCUAACACAUGCAAGUCGAACGGGUAGCAAUACCCAGUGGCGGACGGGUGAGGAAUACAUAGGAAUUUGCCUUUAGGUGGGGGAUAGCCCGGGGAAACUCGGAGUAAUACCGCAUGAUGUCGAAAGACCAAAGUAGGGGAUCGCAAGACCUUGCGCCUUUAGAGAAGCCUAUGUCUGAUUAGCUAGUUGGUAGGGUAAUGGCCUACCAAGGCGACGAUCAGUAGCUGGUCUGAGAGGACGACCAGCCACACUGGGACUGAGACACGG